rnacentral:SRP_RNA from 1 species
GCCGGGCAUGUUGGCACAUGCCUGUAGUCCCAGCUAUUUGGGAGGCUGAGGUGGGAGGAUCACUUGAGCCCACUGAAUUCUGGGCUGUAGUGUGCUAUGCUGAUCUGGUGUCCACACUAAGUUCGGCAUCAAUAUGGUGACCUCCCAGGAGCGGCGGACCACCAGGUUGCCUAAGGAGGGGUGAACCAGCCCAGAUCAGAAAUGGAGCAGGUCAAAAUUCCAGUGCUGAUCAGUAGUGGGAUUGCGCCUGUGAAUAGCCACUGCACUCCAGCCUGGGCAACAUAGCAAGACCCCCAUCUCU